rnacentral:rRNA from 1 species
CCCUUAGAUGUUCUGGGCCGCACGCGCGCUACACUGAUUCAUGCAACAAGUUUUGUCCUUGGCUGAUAGGCCUGGGUAAUCUUUGAACGUGAAUCGUGAUGGGGAUAGAUGAUUGCAAUUAUUCAUCUUCAACGAGGAAUUCCUAGUAAACGCAAGUCAUCAGCUUGCAUUGAUUACGUCCCUGCCCUUUGUACACACCGCCCGUCGCACCUACCGAUUGAAUGGUGCGGUGAAAUCUUCGGAUCUGAGAGAUGUCUGAUUAAUUUCGGACGCCUUUUGGAAAAGUUGUUUAAACCUUACCAUUUAGAGGAAGGUGAAGUCGUAACA